AAAAGAUGCAAGCAUGAAUAAAUAAAUUGUAAUCUUUGUUGGCUGACAAAGGGAGCCUUCGAGACAUCUUCCACUUUGUGCAGAAAUGAAUCUAGUUAAGGAAUUGAGUGUGACAUGGCAUGUGGAUUUAUACUCGGAAUUGCUCAAGAUUGGAGUGUAUAAAAGGUUGAUAUCAAUAAAAUGAAGAAAAAAUAUUACUCCUAAGAAGAAUGUCUUAAUUUGAGGGAAGUUAAGUCACUAAAAAAAUGAAAUAUCCGAAUAUCGUAAAACUUACGGAAGUCAUUAGAGUGAACGGUGUAUUGGUAAGAUUCUUGAAAAAAACUUUG